rnacentral:rRNA from 1 species
GACGAACGCUGGCGGCGUGCUUAACACAUGCAAGUCGAACGGAAAGGCCCUGCUUUUGUGGGGUGCUCGAGUGGCGAACGGGUGAGUAACACGUGAGUAACCUGCCCUUGACUUUGGGAUAACUUCAGGAAACUGGGGCUAAUACCGGAUAGGAGCUCCUGCUGCAUGGUGGGGGUGGGAAAGUUUCGGCGGUUGGGGAUGGACUCGCGGCUUAUCAGCUUGUUGGUGGGGUAGUGGCUUACCAAGGCUUUGACGGGUAGCCGGCCUGAGAGGGUGACCGGCCACAUUGGGACUGAGAUACGGCCCAGACUCCUACGGGAGGCAGCAGUGGGGAAUAUUGCACAAUGGGCGGAAGCCUGAUGCAGCAACGCCGCGUGCGGGAUGACGGCCUUCGGGUUGUAAACCGCUUUCGCCUGUGACGAAGCGUGAGUGACGGUAAUGGGUAAAGAAGCACCGGCUAACUCCGUG